CAUUGAGGUCCAAAUAAAGUGUGGGCGCUGUGGCUAUCUUACGUGUACAGUGAUUUGUUCGUAGAUAAAGUGAGGAUGGAAGAUCACCGAUGCAUGAAUGGAUAAAGGGACGAUGAACUGUCUGUCUGCUGAACUUUACCUGGCGUUGCAACAAACUGCGGGACGCACCUGUGUUUUUAAGGCCACACCACCACGCGUUGCUGGACUUAUCCAAGCUGUUGUUUACGUCUUCAGCAUUGCAUGUUUCAUCAGCUGCAUACAAACAUUAGUUAUUCGUGAAUACAUCGGCUAAAGAUACCUGCAAAUCAGCUGCCUGGCUCUGCUGGCAAUCAGCUCCAUGAAUCUUAAGAAGUGGACAUUGAGGCUGUGGCGGUCUUCAUGUAACAGAUCUCCUGUUCUCCCCCCCCACCCAGGACAGGGAAAAAACAAGCACAAGCUGCAGCGUCCAACCAGGCUAAACCAAGUGGCUGCCUCUUUUCAUGAACACUGCUGCUGGAGUCGGUUCCACAUGGCACACAAGUGUGAAAUUGGUGAGUAGAUUACAUGCGAGUGCGAUGAUGUGAGAGCAGCUGGUC